rnacentral:rRNA from 1 species
GUGUCAGCCGCCGCGGUAAGACGAACCGUGCAAACGUUAUUCGGAAUCACUGGGCUUAAAGGGCGCGUAGGCGGGUAACCAAGUCCGGGGUGAAAUCCUCCAGCUUAACUGGAGAAGUGCCUCGGAUACUGGUCGUCUCGAGGAGGGUAGGGGCAUCUGGAACUAGCGGUGGAGCGGUGAAAUGCGUUGAUAUCGCUAGGAACUCCGAUGGCGAAGGCAAGGUGCUGGACCCUUUCUGACGCUGAGGCGCGAAAGCCAGGGGAGCGAACGGGAUUAGAAACCCCUGUAGUCC